rnacentral:lncRNA from 1 species
GUGUAGUAUAGAGCAGUGUUUCUCAAACUUGAAUAACACACAUCUCCUUUUAAUAAGGAAUAAUUCUAACUCCUUUUUACUUCAUUUAUUUAUUAUAAUGUUAAGUAUAGAUAAACAUAAAGCUACAUAUAAAUGCCUUAUGCUUACAGCUCUUGCACAGUAUAAAACCAAAGGAAGUUUACAGAUCAGACACAAGCAAAACUAUAAAAUUAAUAAAUUUAAAAUGAUAGUAAUUAAAUAUGAUGGAUGAUGAUGUUUUGCCAGCACAAAACCGUCACUUGUAGUUUGAUUAUGGUACUGAGUGCUGUAGUACAUGUUCUUUUUUUUGGUGAGGAAGAUUGGCCUGAGCUAAUAUCUAUUGCCAAUCUUCUUCUCUUUGCUUGAGGAAGAUUGUCACUGAGCUACCUGUGCCCAUCUUCCUCCACUUUGCAUGUGGGACACUGCCACAGCAUGGCUUUCCAAGUGGUGUAUAGGUCUGCACCCAGCAUCGGAACCCACAAACCCCAGGCCGCCAAAGCAAAGCACAAACCCAACCGCUACACCACUGGGCCAGCCCCUAGCACCGUUCUUUUGAGUUCAGCACGCACCUUCUACGAUGUGCUAUGUGGUGAAUCAAUUCACCCACUGUUUUUCUCUGUUUAGACUAUUACUUGCAUUUGUUUAGCACAUAGUUCUGUUCUUUUGGUCUUCAUCUAGCUUGAAUGCAUCAUUUCCUAUUAAGUCAGCCUCUAUCUCCAUGAACCUCCCACACAACUAAAGCAGAACCUGGCUUUAACAUGCAAGUAAAUACAAAUGCAAACCUAGGCACUGAGACCUUCUGGCAAUAUUUGAUUUUAAGGCAUUUUUCCAGAUAAUUCAGAACAUGAAUAUUGAGUAUUUUAAAAAUUUUCAUCAACAGGAAAAAUGUCUAAUUCUCAUAGUAAACUCAUGGAUCCUCCGCCCUCUGCAAACAUACAAACACACACACUCCCCCACUCCCUUCUCUCCCUCUCUCCACCAGAAUUUCUAAUGGUGGUUAGUAGCGUUGGUACUUCGGCUUCUGACACACUGGCGUUCAGAACUUGGGCAUGCUUCUCAAUCUUUUCUGAACCUCAGUAUUUUCAUGUAUUAAACAAGAGUGAUAAUACUUAGUGAACAAUUAAGAGAAAUAAAUGCAAUAAUGUUCAUAAAGCAUCCGUAGUAUGUGUUUAUAAAUGGUAGCCAUCAUUGCUUUGAUUAGAAAUAACAAC